UACUAGAAAAAAAGGAUGAGAUGGAAUAUUGGUUCGAUCGAUAAAACAAGAGUGGGAGAGAUAUAUGCGCCUCUAUUUUUCCGCAGUCACAUGUGUUCUGAGCGUUGCACUGACAUGAUCUGUCUCGAAGCGGAAUAUUUUAAUCUCAACAGAAUUCUUUUGCAGUCUAUUGCAUUAUGGCCGUUUCAACAAUCGAAACUUGUCCGAAUUCAAUUUAUUGUAAGCAUGACUAUUCUCGUGGGUGCUUUUAUCUAUCAAAUUACUACACUUUUGAUGUCAAAAUUUACACCCAAAUUUGCUAUUAAAGCUUUCUCCUGUGCACUCUUCUUUACUUUUGUAGUGAUACAUUACAGUUCAUUCAGAUUAAACAUCGAUACCCUAAAAGAUAUGAUGAAGCGACUUCACUGUGCAUGUACUAACCUAAGAGAUAAAAAUGAAAUCGCCAUAAUACAAAAGUAUGGCAGGAACGCAAAAUAUUCUACAGCUGUACUCAUCAUAUUCUUCGUUAUUGCGAAAUCUGCUUUUUGGGCCAUUCAAAUAGCAAUUCCUUAUCUCGAUGGCGUUACGCCUAUAAACGGAUGCCGACCACAUCAACUAUACAUAGUUGCCGAAUACUUUAUUGAUCAACAAAAAUAUUACUAUGUAAUUUUGCUUCACAUGAAUGCAGCUCUAUUUAUCGGAAUAUUAACAUUAAUAGCAAUGGGAACACUACUGAUUGCAUAUCUCCAGCAUACAUGCGGAAUGUUCAGAAUUGCUUGUUAUCGUAUCGAACGCGCGUUGCAGAUUAAUAUAGAAAAAGAUAUUAGUGGAAACAGCGAGUCUUCGAUAUACACGAAAUUAGUUGAUGCCAUACACAUUCAUCGAGAAGCUAUGAAAUUGUCCGAACAUUUGAUACGUAGGUUUGACACAAUGUACUUUUGUUUAACAGUACUGGUAGUGAUUACUAUAAGUCUCAAUCUUUUUCAAAUUUUAUUAUCUUCCGAUAAUAUAAUGGAAACUAUAGUUCCUAUUAUAAGUGUAGUCGUUCUUAUUCUAUACGUGUUUUUUGCCAAUUUCAUUGGACAGAAUGUUACUGACCACAAUAAUGAAGUUUAUACUGCCGCAUACAACAUUCGAUGGUACAUGUGUCCUAUCCAUGUACAAAGAUUGAUACUGCUACUUUUGCAAAGAAAGGCUAGAGAAUUUCAUUUAACUUGCGGAGGAAUGUUCGUAGCAUCUUUCGACUGUCUCGCAACGUCUAUUGCAUUAUGGCCGUUUCAACAAUCGAAACUUGUCCGAAUUCAAUUUAUUGUAAGCAUGACUAUUCUCGUGGGUGCUAUUAUCUAUCAAAUUACUACAAUUUUGACGUCAAAAUUUACACCAAAAUUUGUUAUUAAAGCUUUCUCCUGUAUACUCUUCUUUACUCUUGUAGUGAUACAUUACGGUUCAUUUCGAUUAAACAUCCAAACCCUAAAAGAUAUGAUGAAGCAACUUCACUGUGCAUGCAUCAACCUAAGAGAUAAAAAUGAAAUCGCCAUAAUACAAAAGUAUGGCAGGAAUGCAAAAUACUAUACGGCUGCACUCAUCGUAUUCUUCGUUAUUGCGAAAUCUGCUUUUUGGGCAAGUCAAAUCAUAAUACCUUAUCUCGAUGGCAUUACGCCUAUAAACGGAUGCCGACCACAUCAACUAUACAUAGUUGCCGAAUACUUUAUUGAUCAACAAAAAUAUUACUAUGUAAUUUUGCUUCACAUGAAUGCAGCUCUAUUUAUCGGAAUAUUAACAUUAAUAGCAAUGGGAACCCUACUGAUUGCAUAUCUCCAGCAUACAUGUGGAAUGUUCAAAAUUGCUUGUUAUCGUAUCGAACAUGCGAUGGAGAUUAAUAUAGAAAAAGAUAUUAGUGGAAACAGCGAGUCUUCGAUAUCCAAGAAAAUAGUUUAUGCCGUACAUAUUCAUCGAGAAGCUAUGGAGUUAGUAUGAGAACUCUUUUUCAAAAGUCUCUGUAUAAUUUUCUACAAACUGUAAUACAAAGACGAAUAAGUGAAUCGUAGAACUGGUCAAAACUGAUCAAAAAUGUUGUUACAAGAAUUAAGAAUUUAAUAUCGUUACAAUAGUUUCGCUAAUACACUCACAAAAAUGUUGAUAAAACAUAAAAACACUACAUUCUGUGUUUACAGAUUGUCCGAGCAUUUGAUAUCUAGGUUUGACACAAUGUACUUUUGUUUAA
rnacentral:misc_RNA from 1 species